UACGUAGGGGGCUAGCGUUGUCCGGAAUCAUUGGGCGUAAAGAGCGUGUAGGCGGCCCGGUAAGUCCGCUGUGAAAGUCGGGGGCUCAACCCUCGAAUGCCGGUGGAUACUGUCGGGCUAGAGUGCGGAAGAGGCGAGUGGAAUUCCUGGUGUAGCGGUGAAAUGCGCAGAUAUCAGGAGGAACACCACUUGCGAAGGCAGCUCGCUGGGACGUAACUGACGCUGAGACGCGAAAGCGUGGGGAGCAAACAGG
rnacentral:rRNA from 1 species